AAGAAUACUUUCGGGGAUCAUAUCUGUACUUUGUCACUCGAGAAGUUUUUCUGAACGUGUGGAGCACCGGAAACCACGAGGAGUCGGCGUGGCCUUCUCACCUGAGCACGAAGCUGACCCUCGGUGUUGCAAACGCCAUUUGCCGUUGAUCCUCGUUCUUUUUUCAUGCUGGGAGAGCAAGUGGGACGGAAUCUGCAGUGGGAGUGGU
rnacentral:snoRNA from 1 species